CCUACGGGUGGCAGCAGUAGGGAAUAUUGCUCAAUGGGGGAAACCCUGAACCAGCAACGCCGCGUGGAGGAUGAAGGUUUUCGGAUUGUAAACCUCCUUUGUUAGAGAAGAUAAUGACGGUACCUAACGAAUAAGUACCGGCUAACUCCGUGCCAGCAGCCGUGGUAAUACGGAGGGUGCAACCGUUACUCGGAAUCACUGGGCGUAAAGAGCGCGUAGGCGGGAUAGCAAGUCAGAUGUGAAAUCCUAUGGCUUAACCAUAGAACUGCAUUUGAAACUGUUAUUCUAGAGUAUGGGAGAGGUAGGUGGAAUGCUUGGUGUAGGGGUGAAAUCCGUAGAGAUCAAGAGGAAUACUGAUUGCGAAGGCGGCCUGCUAGAACAUAACUGACGCUGAUGCGCGAAAGCGUGGGGAGCAAACAGGAUUAGAUACCCGGGUAGUC
rnacentral:rRNA from 1 species